rnacentral:rRNA from 1 species
AUGGGGACUUGUAUCAACGGCAUCACGAGGGCCAUACUGUCUCCUUUUUCCAAUCAGUGAAACUGAUCUUCCCGUGAAGAAGCGGGAAUUAACCUAUAAGACGAGAAGACCCCAUGGAGCUUUAAACCCAACAACAAGUCUAAAUAAACACACCCUAAAAAUUAAUGACAUCUGAACUGUUGGUUUUAGGUUGGGGUGACCGCGGAGUAUAAACUAACCUCCACGACGAACGGGACUAAACCCUUAUCUACGAGCCACCGCUCUAAGAAUCAGCACACUGACUUCUAAUGAUCCGAUAUUCGAUCAACGAACCAAGUUACCCUGGGGAUAACAGCGCUAUCCAUUUCAAGAGCUCCUAUCGACAAAUGGGUUUACGACCUCGAUGUUGGAUCAGGGUAUCCUAGUGGUGCAGCCGCUACUAAAGGUUUGUUUGUUCAACAAUUAAAACCC